CGGACGGGUGAGUAACGCGUGGAGAACCUGCCGUAUACUGGGGGAGUAACACUUAGAAAUAGGUGCUAAUACCGCAUAAGCGCACAGCUUCGCAUGAAGCAGUGUGGAAAACUCCGGUGGUAUACGAUGGAUCCGCGUCUGAUUAGCUGGUUGGCGGGGUAAAGGCCCACCAAGGCGACGAUCAGUAGCCGGCCUGAGAGGGUGAACGGCCACAUUGGGACUGAGACACGGCCCAAACUCCUACGGAAGGCAGCAG
rnacentral:rRNA from 1 species